AUGUUUAUAAGAUUAAAAGUAAAAGCUACCAAUGUUUCAUUAAUAACCAUAUUGUAUGUAAAGAACUUGUUCCGGCCGAACCCGAAUCCCCACUAAACCUAAUACCAUUCCAUGGUCCUGCCCGGAACUUGAUCAUAUUUUCGCCUUGUUUGAGUAUGUGCUGAGGAUAACCAUGUGUGUCAAUGCUGUAGGUAAAUUCACCUGGAGCUGGAUCUUCACUGCCUUUCCAUGAUGAUAGACGCCAUUCCCUGCCCGUCAACAGGUCCCUCCCGAACUUCAUUUCAGGCAAAAGUGUAUCAGUUGGAUAAUCAAAACUCUGCCAGAGAAUCUUUACGUUGUCUCCGUCCGUCAUGACUAAGUUUCCGUUGUCAUCAAGCUUUGCAGUCGCAUUUCCUGAGGAUGUUGUGUUGGAUGACCACAUUAUACCAUUGGUACUAUUGUUCAUGAGGACAAGACUUCCUGGAUGGACAAUCUUUAACACGCCUGAUGAUGCGAUGGUGAGUGGGUGUUCUCUGUUGGCAACCCAAACAACUGUUUUGACAUAUAUUUUCUUGUACCAUAUGCCAAGGUAGCUAUUCCCAGAGCUACCCGGCUUGAAAAAGCCAAGUUCAAAGGUUCCGGCAGGCGACACCAAUGUAUCUUUUUCUGUCAAGAACUGUAAAUCUGAAAUGAUAUUGAUUUCGGCAGUAUAGAUUUUCUGAAUGGGGAGUGAAACAAGUAAAAGAACAAGUAUAGCUACUCUCUCCAUUUUUC
rnacentral:lncRNA from 1 species